rnacentral:lncRNA from 1 species
AUGCAGAUUCUCAGGCCCCGACCCCGAUCUCGAGAAUCAGAAACUCCAGGGAUGGGGCUCAGCCACCCGUGUUUUAACAAACCCGCCCGAGGGGCCUGGUGCACUUCGCCUAGUUCAAAGGCCACUGUCCUAGAGCCCAGAAGACCGUCUGAGGGGAGAGUAUGGAUGUCCAGCAUGUGCUGGGCAAAUGGCCAGAUGCCACCAGGAAGUCAGAAAGGCAGCCUGUAAAGCCCCAGUGAAUUUGCGGAUGGAGCGAUCACUGUCAGGAGACUUGGUCCCCAGAAGGGGUAGCCACAGCUAUGUGGACUUCCUUCCCUGAAGCUCUUCUGUGUCAUAAAUGAAACUGAGAAAUCCAAUUCGUCUGGAGUAUUCCAACUUGAUUACAAACUUGAUUAAGGAAAUCUCUGUCAACAAUUUAAACCGCAAUUACAGAUUUCCCAAGGCAAGGUCCGAGAACAGGACGGUCAUAACAUUUAUACUUAUAAACUCUUCUAAAAUGUCAAGGCCAUAGGCAUCAUUCCCACCCUUGCUUUUGUUUCUUCUGAGGGGUUUUGCUGUACUUGUUUGCCUUCUCCCUAGGGUUUCGGUGAUGAAAUUUGGAUACCAUCUCAUGUUUGCAAUAAUCUCCCGGGACAAGCUGAGGUCACUGGAUCUGGAUGUUUGACUCUGGUCCUCAGGGGCUGGGACACAGGGCUCUGUGGGCUCUCCUGGGAUGCGACUUGGCUAAAUAGCCAUCGUGGUCAUCCUCUGCAAAGCCCCUCCCUCCUGGACGACUCACAGUGACCGCCACGCUGCGCACCUGAAGAAGCCUCAUGUACCCGAGUGGUUCCAUGUGGUCCCCAAGGCUGGCAAGUCCAUCCUCCUUUCUGGUCUAUUCUAGGCCUCCAGUCCGGAGCUCCACGUUUAUUCUUUUCUGAUUACACAGACAAAGCAAACACAUCUCUCUAAUUUGUUAACAAAAAUGAAACAAAAAAACCAAUAUGCACAGACCAACACAUCCCAACUUACUAAGCUCAAGGAAAACUCAAACAAAUCAUAUGACAGUCAUCUUUCUUCUAUCACGACUCUCUUGGAAUGCUUUACGUUAACCUUUUCCUUCUGGGUAUCAUUCCAGCCAUGACUUUUCACAGAGUGAAUUUAUUCAUGUUAACCCCAUCAUCAUCUCAAUGGAUAAUUUUUGAUGCUCGUAUUAUCACAGCCUGGCUCAUGUUGAGGGAGACUUCUGAUCCCUCCAUGGUCUCUCCUCG